GACGAACGCUGGCGGCGUGCUUAACACAUGCAAGUCGAACGGUAAGGCCCUUCGGGGUACACGAGUGGCGAACGGGUGAGUAACACGUGGGUGAUCUGCCCUGCACUUCGGGAUAAGCCUGGGAAACUGGGUCUAAUACCGGAUAGGACCCUGGGAUGCAUGUCCUGGGGUGGAAAGCUUUUGCGGUGUGGGAUGGGCCCGCGGCCUAUCAGCGUGUUGGUGGGGUGAUGGCCUACCAAGGCGACGACGGGUAGCCGGCCUGAGAGGGUAACCGGCCACACUGGGACUGAGAUACGGCCCAGACUCCUACGGGAGGCAGCAGUGGGGAAUAUUGCACAAUGGGCGCAAGCCUGAUGCAGCGACGCCGCGUGAGGGAUGACGGCCUUCGGGUUGUAAACCUCUUUCAGCACCGACGAAGCGCAAGUGACGGUAGGUGCAGAAGAAGGACCGGCCAACUACGUGCCAGCAGCCGCAGUAA
rnacentral:rRNA from 1 species